rnacentral:rRNA from 1 species
CUACGUGCCAGCAGCCGCGGUAAUACGGAAGGUCCAGGCGUUAUCCGGAUUUAUUGGGUUUAAAGGGAGCGUAGGCCGGAGAUUAAGUGUGUUGUGAAAUGUAGACGCUCAACGUCUGACUUGCAGCGCAUACUGGUUUCCUUGAGUACGCACAACGUUGGCGGAAUUCGUCGUGUAGCGGUGAAAUGCUUAGAUAUGACGAAGAACUCUGAUUGCGAAGGCAGCUGACGGGAGCGCAACUGACGCUUAAGCUCGAAGGUGCGGGUAUCAAACAGGAUUAGAUACCCUGGUAGUCCGCACAGUAAACGAUGGAUGCCCGCUGUUGGUACCUGGUAUCAGCGGCUAAGCGAAAGCAUUAAGCAUCCCACCUGGGGAGUACGCCGGCAACGGUGAAACUCAAAGGAAUUGACGGGGGCCCGCACAAGCGGAGGAACAUGUGGUUUAAUUCGAUGAUACGCGAGGAACCUUACCCGGGCUUGAA